GAGCUGUGAAGAAAUUUUAAAGGAAUCUGAGAUUCUGCUGAAGUCAUAAGAUCCAACUCUGAGCUCGCUGCC
rnacentral:snoRNA from 1 species